AGAGUUUGAUCAUGGCUCAGGACGAACGCUGGCGGCGUGCUUGAUACAUGCAAGUCAAGGAGAACAUUAUCUUCGGAUAAUAAGUAAACUGGCGAACGGGUGAGUAACGCGUAAAUAACUUGCCUCAGAGAUUGGGACAACAUUGGGAAACCAGUGCUAAUACCAAAUAAUGCAGCGGGCUCUUCGGAGCACAGUUGUUAAAGUAGGCUUCGGCUUACACUUUGAGAUAGGUUUGCGUCCGAUUAGUUAGUUGGUAGGGUAAAAGCCUACCAAGACUAAGAUCGGUAGCUGGUCUGAGAGGAUGAUCAGCCACACUGGAAUUGAGAUACGGUCCAGACUCCUACGGGAGGCAGCAGUAAGGAAUUUUGCACAAUGGGCGAAAGCCUGAUGCAGCAACGCCGCGUGAACGAUGAAGUUUUUAGGAAUGUAAAGUUCUGUCGUAUGGGAAGAGAUCUUUCGAAUGUUAAUACCAUUCGUUAAUGACGGUACCAUACAAGAAAGCACCGGCUAACUUCGUGCCAGCAGCCGCGGUAAUACGAGGGGUGCUAGCGUUGUCCGGAUUUACUGGGCGUAAAGGGUACGUAGGCGUUUUAAUAAGUUGUAUGUUAAAUAUCUUAGCUUAACUAAGACAAUGCAUCCAAAACUGUUAAAAUAGAGUUUGAGAGAGGAACGCAGAAUUCAUGGUGGAGCGGUGACAUGCGUAGAUAUCAUGAGGAAAGUCAAAUGCGAAGGCAGCCUUCUGGCU
rnacentral:rRNA from 1 species